rnacentral:rRNA from 1 species
GAGGGAAUAUUGGUCAAUGGACGCAAGUCUGAACCAGCCAUGCCGCGUGCAGGAAGACGGCCCUCUGGGUUGUAAACUGCUUUUAUAAUGGAAGAAACCCCUGGAUGCGUCCAGGGCUGACGGUACUUUAUGAAUAAGGAUCGGCUAACUUCGUGCCAGCAGCCGCGGUAAGACGAAGGAUCCAAGCGUUGUCCGGAUUUACUGGGUUUAAAGGGUGCGUAGGCGGACCGAUAAGUCAGUGGUGAAAGCCCAUAGCUCAACUAUGGAACUGCCAUUGAAACUGCCGGUCUUGAAUUCGGUUGAGGCAGAUGGAAUAUAACAUGUAGCGGUGAAAUGCUUAGAUAUGUUAUAGAACACCGAUUGCGAAGGCAGUCUGCUAAGUCGACAUUGACGCUGAGGCACGAAAGCGUGGGGAGCGAACAGGAUUAGAUACCCUGGUAGUCCACGCCCUAAACGUUGAUUACUCGCUGUUGGCGAUACACUGUCAGCGGCUAAGCGAAAGCGUUAAGUAAUCCACCNNNGAAGUACGACCGCAAGGCUG